rnacentral:rRNA from 1 species
AGGGUGUAAACGCUGCAGACUUGGUGUUGGAAGUCCUUUGGGGGCAUUCAGUGCCGGAGAGAAGUUGUUAAGUCUGCUACUUGGGGAGUACGUCCGCAAGGAUGAAACUUAAAGGAAUUGGCGGGGGAGCACCGCAACGGGAGGAGCGUGCGGUUUAAUUGGACUCAACGCCGGGAAGCUCACCGGAUAGGACAGCAGAAUGAUUGCCGGGCUGAAGACCCUGCAUGACUAGCUGAGAGGAGGUGCAUGGCGUAGACGUCU